AAAUCUAGAACGUCCUAUUAACCUAUGACCUUGACCUCAAUUUCAAGGUCACAAACCAAGGAUCUUAAAUCAAAAGACCUUAGGUCUUUAAUAUGUUUGGUUAAAGAGUAAUAUCACUUUACGGGUAAACCUAAAAAUAAGAUGGGCAAAAACUCCCAUUUAUUGUCUGCGCACCCUUUCACCCAAAAUAUACAAGUAAGGAC
rnacentral:lncRNA from 1 species